GGUGUGACUGCGUACCUUUUGUAUAAUGGGUCAGCGACUUAUAUUCUGUAGCAAGGUUAACCGUAUAGGGGAGCCGCAGGGAAACCGAGUCUUAACUGGGCGUUAAGUUGCAGGGUAUAGACCCGAAACCCGGUGAUCUAGCCAUGGGCAGGUUGAAGGUUGGGUAACACUAACUGGAGGACCGAACCGACUAAUGUUGAAAAAUUAGCGGAUGACUUGUGGCUGGGGGUGAAAGGCCAAUCAAACCGGGAGAUAGCUGGUUCUCCCCGAAAGCUAUUUAGGUAGCGCCUCGUGAACUCAUCUUCGGGGGUAGAGCACUGUUUCGGCUAGGGGGUCAUCCCGACUUACCAACCCGAUGCAAACUACGAAUACCGAAGAAUGUUAUCACGGGAGACACACGGCGGGUGCUAACGUCCGUCGUGAAGAGGGAAACAACCCAGACCGCCAGCUAAGGUCCCAAAGUCAUGGUUAAGUGGGAAACGAUGUGGGAAGGCACAGACAGCCAGGAUGUUGGCUUAGAAGCAGCCAUCAUUUAAAGAAAGCGUAAUAGCUCACUGGUCGAGUCGGCCUGCGCGGAAGAUGUAACGGGGCUAAACCAUGCACCGAAGCUGCGGCAGCGACACUAUGUGUUGUUGGGUAGGGGAGCGUUCUGUAAGCCUGCGAAGGUGGCCUGUGAGGG
rnacentral:rRNA from 1 species